ACCACCCUCUCCCCCCAACACUAAAUUAAAUAAAAAUAGAAAUAAAGUAGAAAAAGUUUCAAGUGAGAGUCUCCAAGGAGCACUUCCAUAAACAUUUAUGUGACAAUUACUAGCACUAAGAAGGCCAUCAUGACAUGCCACUAUCCUAUUCCUAGCUAGGCUAUAUACAAAGGUCUUUCUUUAUAUGCCAUUUUUCAACCCUUCAUUCGCAAACAACUUAAAAUCAUUGGUGUAUACUUACCUUUGUUUUCGAGAAACCCACUAGUCCUUUGUCCAAUGAGGCGUAUAUUGGUGGCGAUAAGGCAAAACAUCCAAAACAAGAGGAAGAGUCCUAAAGUAGCCGAUGAAAGCAUGUUUGGGGAAGGAAAUGGAGCUGAGUUUCCAAAUCUAGGUAGACAUACAAGGCAAGGAGUUCCUAAUGGUCUUUCACUUAUAUAUAGCAUCGUAAGAGCUCCUCUCUCACUUGUUUCCUGCAUAUCAUGUCACUCCCAUAUAAGUGGUGCUGCCGAUGGAGUCUGGGUUUCUGGAGAACUUGGACGGAUUUCUGACGUUAAUCAUCUUAUAGUCAACGACAGCAUGCGCUAUGCUAUUUUGAUGUAAUUAAUAAACAGCUAUUCCAACCGCAAAGACAAGGUUGAAGGGGCACAUCUAUGUAGGUGUCCGAGUAGCUCGUGAUAUCUCUUAAAUUUUAAAGUGGAAAUAUUUUGAGAAUUUUUUUGGUUUAUUGCAUUUUUUUCGGUGUGAUACCCAUGGGCGGUUUUGUUAUGGUGUUGGUAGUGGUAACGCCAUAUAUUUCCAUAUGCUUUGCAAAAAAUUUAGAAUUUUUUUCUACUAUCGUGUCAGUACUUAAAUUUCACGUGUCACUCCUACUAUGAAAUUCUGCA